rnacentral:rRNA from 1 species
AUACGUAGGGGGCGAGCGUUGUCCGGAAUGAUUGGGCGUAAAGGGCGCGUAGGCGGCCCGGUAAGUCUGGAGUGAAAGUCCUGUUUUUAAGAUGGGAAUUGCUCUGGAUACUGUCGGGCUUGAGUGCAGGAGAGGUAAGUGGAAUUCCCAGUGUAGCGGUGAAAUGCGUAGAGAUUGGGAGGAACACCAGUGGCGAAGGCGACUUACUGGACUGUAACUGACGCUGAGGCGCGAAAGCGUGGGGAGCAAACAGGAUUAGAUACCCUGGUAGUCCACGCGGUAAACGAUGAAUACUAGGUGUCGGGUGGCAACAGCCAUUCGGUGCCGCAGCAAACGCAAUAAGUAUUCCACCUGGGGAGUACGUUCGCAAGAAUGAAACUCAAAUGAAUUGACGGGG